AUUGAACGCUGGCGGCAGGCCUAACACAUGCAAGUCGAACGGUAACAGGAAGCAGCUUGCUGCUUCGCUGACGAGUGGCGGACGGGUGAGCAAUGUCUGGGAAGCUGCCUGAUGGAGGGGGAUAACUACUGGAAACGGUAGCUAAUACCGCAUAAUGUCGCAAGACCAAAGAGGGGGACCUUCGGGCCUCUUGCCAUCGGAUGUGCCCAGAUGGGAUUAGCUUGUUGGUGGGGUAACGGCUCACCAAGGCGACGAUCCCUAGCUGGUCUGAGAGGAUGACCAGCCACACUGUGACUGAGACACGGUCCCGACUCCUGUGGGGGGCAGCCGUCGGGAAUAUUGCAAAAUGGGCGGAAGCCUGAUGGAGCCAUGCCGCGUGUAUGGAGAAAGCCUUCGGGUUGUAAAGUUCUUUCGGCGGGGAGGGAGGGAGUAAAGUUAAUACCUUGGCUCAUUGACGUUACCCGCAGAAGAAGCACCGGCUAACUCCGUG
rnacentral:rRNA from 1 species